AUCCUUUUGCAGAGGCAAUUUCAUAGUCUAUGAAGUGUAUCUGAGACGUGAUUAUUGCUGGUUGAAAACUUAACCCCCCCUUAUGGAUUACUUAAAAUCAAGGCCAGUUACGUCGCCCGGAUUGGCGCUACCGG